rnacentral:rRNA from 1 species
UACGAAGGGGGCUAGCGUUGCUCGGAAUCACUGGGCGUGAAAGCGCACGUAGGCGGCUUCUUAAGUCAGGGGUGAAAUCCCGGGGCUCAACCCCGGAACUGCCUUUGAUACUGGUAGUCUCGAGUCCGGAAGAGGUGAGUGGAAUUCCGAGUGUAGAGGUGAAAUUCGUAGAUAUUCGGAGGAACACCAGUGGCGAAGGCGGCUCACUGGUCCGGUACUGACGCUGAGGUGCGAAAGCGUGGGGAGCAAACAGG